AGAGUUUGAUCCUGGCUCAGAUUGAACGCUGGCGGAAUGCGUUACACAUGCAAGUCGUACGGCAGCAAGGGUGCUUGCACCUGGUGGCGAGUGGCGAACGGGUGAGUAAUGCGUCGGAACGUACCGAGUAAUGGGGGAUAACGCAGCGAAAGCUGUGCUAAUACCGCAUACGCCCUGAGGGGGAAAGUGGGGGACCGCAAGGCCUCACGUUAUUCGAGCGGCCGACGUCUGAUUAGCUAGUUGGUAGGGUAAUGGCCUACCAAGGCGACGAUCAGUAGCGGGUCUGAGAGGAUGAUCCGCCACACUGGAACUGAGACACGGUCCAGACUCCUACGGGAGGCAGCAGUGGGGAAUUUUGGACAAUGGGGGCAACCCUGAUCCAGCCAUUCCGCGUGAGUGAAGAAGGCCUUCGGGUUGUAAAGCUCUUUCAGCGGGAACGAAACGGUAGUCUCUAACAUAGGCUGCUAAUGACGGUACCCGCAGAAGAAGCACCGGCUAACUACGUGCCAGCAGCCGCGGUAAUACGUAGGGUGCGAGCGUUAAUCGGAAUUACUGGGCGUAAAGCGUGCGCAGGCGGACUGUUAAGCAAGAUGUGAAAUCCCCGGGCUUAACCUGGGAAUGGCAUUUUGAACUGGCAGUCUAGAGUGCGUCAGAGGGGGGUGGAAUUCCACGUGUAGCAGUGAAAUGCGUAGAUAUGUGGAGGAACACCAAUGGCGAAGGCAGCCCCCUGGGAUGACACUGACGCUCAUGUACGAAAGCGUGGGUAGCAAACAGGAUUAGAUACCCUGGUAGUCCACGCCCUAAACGAUGUCAACUGGUUGUUGGGGGAGUGAAAUCCCUUAGUAACGAAGCUAACGCGUGAAGUUGACCGCCUGGGGAGUACGGUCGCAAGAUUAAAACUCAAAUGAAUUGACGGGGGC
rnacentral:rRNA from 1 species